rnacentral:lncRNA from 1 species
CAUCAAGGACAGAAGGUGCACCAGCAUGAGUAUUGUGGUCUUCAGCAACUUGUUUUCUUUUUGAGUGUUUAAUAAGAUACAAUGUAACCAUCAGCUGUUAAGAAUGAAUUCAGAUAUGUGCCUAGAGAGUUAAAGCUGGGGUUAAUAACUAGAAACUAAAGAAGGUACGCUAAUUGCACAGGAGCACAUACACAGGCAACGUAGAAAGGUUGAUGGGUAAUAUAUCCUAAGAACAUAACUCUUUUUCCCAGUGAUAAUUUUUUGAGCAAUUCUUUCUUUGUGAAUGUCCCAAUACACUGGUUAUGCAGUCCUCAUGGAAUGGAUGAUAUAAAGUAUAAAUGAAAGCCACAUAAUUGUUUGAAAUAACCUGGUCUUGAACAAACAGAUUCAUGUACAGAAAAUGCUUCCCAUGCAAGUUACAUCCUGCUCCAUAUGCCAUGUCAGACUAACAUCCUGCUCCAUAUGCCAUGCAAGUCUGACAUGAUCUUACAAGGCACCAUUAUGUUCAGGAUUCCAUAACAAGAAUGGCCUAAAACACAAUUUCACGUGAUACAGCACAACCAGUUUGUACACAUAGCAACCCUAACUGAUAUUUUGAUGUCAACUUCUAUCAAAUGGAUUUAUGGUUUUGAACCUUGGAUAGGUUAAUAUCAGAUGGAAAAUACUAUCUAGCUUUAGUUGGUCACACUAAUCUGCCUCCCAAUCAGUAAAGCACCUUUACAACCUUACAAAACUUCUGACAAAUACAAAAAUUUGAAUCACUGUUUAUAUACAGUCAAAAUAAACCUCAAGUAAGGUUUUGCACUUUUCCGCAUUAUUUUAUCUUUUCUUGGCUAAUCCUCAUACUUUAUUAUCCUUUACUAUAUUCAAUUUGAUAGGUAUUUUGAAAUGUAGUUAAUAGCAUGCCUAGCCUCAAGAGGAGGCAACUUCAUCAAAGCAUUAAAAAAAUAUGCCUUGGGCAUGCCAUAGAAGAUGCAUGCUUUCAUAAUUCUUACGUGUUGUAUGUGUGUAUUUGAUUGUCCCUGACUGCAAAUGUGUUAUGUGCAUGCACCCUAUGCCGUGAUGACUGCGUAUUUGUGAGACUGUUUAUGAGUGUAGUUCAAGUUAUCUAGGUGCUUUAUGUGUCUUCAUGCAUGUUCUGUUUGAUUGUGCAAUUUUGUUAACAGAUAUAUUAACAUGAAGAAUUCAUUAUAUGUAUGUGUAUGGGCAUGUGCAUCUGUAUUUCACCUAACUCCAUCAGGACAUGCAACUUGCUUUGCACCUCACAACUAGUCUUCAAGAGACCUUGGCACCUCAACAGACCUUAAGAUUCAAUAACUUUGCCUAGAGUCAGCACUUCAACUCUUGACAACAUUCAUCAAAUGCAAUCUUGAUGAUAGUGAAAAGGGGAGAGUGGAGUGGCUCGAAUCCUGAUUGCAGGUUAGAAGAGAUAAUGAAGGAAGUGAUAAAUUAUUAUUUAGUAACACUUUGCAUACUGUAGAACUUGACCUCAAACAAAAAAUGGCACUACAUGAUUCAUAAAUCCAGCAUUUACACUAGAUGGGAUGAGGAUGGUUUGUUUCAUUUCAGUUUAUAAGAAGCAAUAAAGAUCUCAAAUAGGGCUACAACAAGUAUUUAAGAAUCACCAUAUUCAUGAAUCACUGAAAAUAAAUACCACAGCUUUUCUUUCCAAAUAUAUUUAGAACAGAAAUGCCAAGAAUCUCAUAUUAAUAAAUCCAAUGAUUUCUACUUUUUCUUAAUUUUCAAAUAAACAGAAGUUCAGUGAUCCAAUUUUCUUAGCUUAUAAUUGUCUUCUGGUUGAAGAUAGAUCAACAUUAGAUGUUAGAUAAAAGGCAUCUUAAUAAUUAUUCCCCUGAGUUUGCUCUUCAUCUUUCAAUAAAAAGCAGUAGCUAAACCUUCAACUAAUCACACUACAUCUUGGAUCAAAAUAUUAGAUUUUUAAUUUCAAGAAACCAUAUCAGAUAGUGUGAACUGACCAUAUCACUGCAUUCUAGAACCAGAAAAGGAUUCCAACCAACUGAGAGAAGCUAGAGUAUGUAAAGCCAUAAAGGUUUCAAAAAUGAAAAAUUCUCCUGGGGUAACGUAUCUGCUAUUUUCAUGAUAACGUGUAAACUCGUAUUACUUAAAAUCAAGGAGCUAAAUUGGUCCUUUAACCUCUAGCCUGCAUCUAAAAUACAUGGACCUGGUAUGUCUGUUGUACUCAAGUGGCAGUCCAAUUAUGCACACCUUUUAGCAUGUAAGUAUACUUCAUAACAAUUUAUUGCCAAAUGACAACUCAAUAAUCAUGUCUAAGUGCUGGGUGCAAAUAUUUAAGGUUAAAUUAGGGCAUUCGGGCAACAUAUAUGGUUAUGUUCUUCAGUUCUUUUACACUUUAUUUAUGUUCUUCAUAAAUCAUAUUCAAUUUGGAUAAGAGCUACAUCUCAUGGAGUGGGGACUAAUUCAAAAUUAUAUAGCUAAGCAGCUAGCUGUCACAUCAUAUAAAGAACUUAUGUAGAAGGAACCAAAACAAUGUCUUAGAACUAAGCCAUUUCAUGCGUGAAAUCAUGCUAGUGGUAAAUUGAGCUUAAAAAACAAAAAGCAAAGUAAAAAAUGAAUGGAAUAAAAUUGGUCUCUAAGCCCUAUCCAGAGCACAUCACUCUCUUGCAUUAUUUUCAAACUUUAUUACAGGUCAGAACUUGCACAAAUGGAGCAUUUAAAUUACCAACUCAUAAAGACACUUUUGUUCAUCCACCUCAACCAUUGUAUGUUCACAAAAAUUGGAAGUUUGGAAACAGUUCGACAAUCUUUACUUGCAAAUCGAGAACUAAAGAUUCAAAUCUACCACAAUCUGAUAUGCAGAAUAGUUGUUGUUGGUCCUAAAUAUAACUUCUGAAGUUUUCCAUCAAACAAAAAACAAAAUCGAUUUAAAAAAUCCAAUGAUGCCAAAAAAACACCUAAUCAAAACAAAUACCAGUAUGGAGCAAAUAAAAUGCUGACAGAAAGUAAAGGACAAUCACAUAUUUACUUCCAUUCAGCAACUAAAGCAUUAUCUUUUCUCAUUUGCUUUCGAAAUCAUGCAUCUCAUCCACAAUCAAAGGAUUCUAAAAUUUCAUUAAGAAAAGCAAGUUCAGGGUAUCAAUCAAGAAAAUCUGUUUUCACAAAGCAUUAUAGACUUGGCACAGAU